UGCAUGUCAUUGUGCAAACAAUGGAAAGAUGAAUACCAGAGAAUUUGGAGUUCAAAACCCGAAGUUGCGAACAGUUUCUUCCAUUAUAUCAUCUAACAAGGAUUCACAUAUCAGAAUUGCGAUAUUCUCGGAUUCGAAUCGAAGGUCCAUCCAACCUCUGUCUUCCAAUUCCUUUCUUAUUGCUUGAUCUAAUGUGUUUGGCAGCUGUAUAUGAAGAUGCCUCUCGAGACAGUUGCUAACUUCUUGGAUUAAGCUUGCCCUUGAAGGGGUAGGCAGGAGAUUUGGUUGGAUGAGAGACAGCCAUUGGGUAUGCUUCGAAAACCUUUCCUGUGUCUCUACAAGGACUUCAUUCAUGCAAUCAAAGAGAAGCUUAGGAUCAUCUUGUAGGAAGCAAAAGAAGAUCCCUAUUUCAUCAAACAAAGAUGGAUCAAGUAACUGAUCUGCCGUAUCCCAUCUCUCUGAGAAUUCAUUAGCAAGGCCUGAGGCUUCCAAGACUACUUUAACAUAAUCGAACCUAGCUUGCUUGUCAUGAAGAUGAUCUCUUAAACUGUAGCUUACAUCUGGUGAUGCUAUAAUUCUUGAAUAGUUGUCAUAAUCUUCAUGAGUAACUUGUCGAUGUUGUGCUUCAAUGUCAUCUGCAGAAGGGCAACAAAUUCAGAUAAGUUUGUGCCAAAAGGCAGACCAAAGCCGUGUCAACAAAAAUCUUAAUGCUUCUUAAUAUUGCCAGAUCAUACAGUGCUCCACUGUAGUAGACUCAGCAGUGGUAGAAUAUUCUGAAAAGAGUGUUUCGAGAACAGAUACUGGACUUGGUUGCUCUAGUUUUUCAUUGGUGCUGGUGCUUUCUGGAGCCACUGAAUUUUCUCUGGUUAAGGAGCUUGGUGGGAGAGUGGACUCUGUCAAUGCUAGUAAAUUUCCUUCGGAUGAACCCUGGUAAAAUGAUAGUGCAGUUUUAAGGUAUCAAUAUACUUAGACCAAAUCUAAUUAUAUAUCUUGCGCUAUAAACUCACCAGUCCUUGUAUUGCUUCUUCUUCUUCUUCUUCUUCUUCACUUUUAUCUGCAGCAACUACUUCAUUUGUACUUAAGGCAUGACUUUGUAAAAUGCAUAAGAAGCUAAGAGGAUCUCAUUCAAAUAUAUCACAACCUACCUUUGUUGUUCAGGUCUUCUGUAAGGCAUGAUGGCUCUGAAAUAUUGGUAUCAACCACUUCUGUUUUUAGGAUGAGCAAAUUUGAUUCAUCACCUGGAAUGCUCAAGGAGCAAGAUGAGAACUCCAAGUUUGGUCUCUCGGGGCUUAAGUUAUUGGCAGC
rnacentral:lncRNA from 1 species